rnacentral:lncRNA from 1 species
AAAAGACAAAGUAAGAGCAGGCCACAGUAUGUUGGAAGAGGCAAAGAUAAAGCAGAUAUAGCACAAGUAGGGAAUGGAACUUCCCAGGAACAGGCAGGUAGGGGAGCUUUAGGAGGGAGGUGAGACUUUGGCCUGGCUUUGUGUGUAAGCUGAAUCUGAACAAGAUGCAGGAAAGCAAAAAGUCACUUAAAGGUGAGACUAAAAUGUAAGUAUGGAGCCAAGAGCUUGAAGACCUUGACUAAUAGCUGAAGAAUGUCAACCUUGAUCCUACAAGAAGUGGGAAUCAAAAUUUGACAAUCUAAGAAUGACAUGGAGUCAAAGAGACCUGCCAUGUCUCUAGACUAGAGCUAGAAUGCACCUCAUGCUGGCGAGCCUCCUCCACCUGGGACCAAGGAGGAAAUGUAGGUCCAGGGAGAUGAAGGGGCUUGCCCAAGAGACCAGUGGUGACGUGGCUAAGACUUGAACGCAGGUCUCCAUCUGCUAGUUUGGCAUUCUUUCCACCUUGUCAUCUUCAUAAAAGGACAACCACCCAUGACUAAUUUUAUAAGCCAUAAACCAAAAACGUCAUACAUCUGUUAUCUCCACAAUGAUGAAUAAAUCAUAAGCAUGAAAUGCACACUGACUGUAGCUGAAUCUUAAUAUAAGUAUCAGAGGAUCCAAGAGAAGUAAGUCCAAUAAUCUAAUGAGCAAAAGAGACAUUCAAGAUGUUUAUGGUUGCUUUUAUGGUAGCCUAAAAUCAAACAGAACCUGCCUUUCUUUCAUGUUUGCUCGGCUUUCCUUUCAACUCCACUUUUGCCCCUCAACCGUCAUUGAGUCAGAAGGUGUUAAUGCCAGGCCUUGCCCACUCUGUGUCUGAGCCUCCUGAGUAGGUUCUGGAUUGCGGACAGCCAAGCAUUUAAUCAAGAAAUUAGAAUUGAUUAGGUCCUGAUUGGAAUAAAAUUUGUAUUUACAAAUUUACAUCUUGAAAUAAAACUUAAACUUCUGCUUGGUGUACUGAGAGAAGCCAAAAAAAUAAAUGGACAGAGAAACUGUCAUCCUUCCAUAUGGCCCAGAAAUCACAGGGGAAUGUACUUUGCCUGGACCAAGAGGUGAUGAUGGGUCCGAUGGUGUGAUAGGCUGGAUGCUGGAUGCUGAUCAGUCUAGGACACAAGAUGUUUCUCCAGAAAUGAUUUCCUGGAAACAGAAUUACCUCACUGUACUAAACUCUUGGAAUUGGCCUUCUCUGCACAUCUAUAACAUAAGGGUGGGUAGAUCAGCAAAUGAACUAGAUGACAGCAUAAAAUUUGAGAUAUAUUGA